rnacentral:lncRNA from 1 species
GACUCUUGGGAUAGCAUUGGAAAUGUAAAUGAGGAAAAUACCUAAUAAAAAUAUAUGUAAAAAAGGGGGCAUGGAAAUGCGCAUGCCUCCUUAAGAUUGAUUUCCAGAACAUGAUGUUUAAGUUCUGAAUUCAUGUACAGGUCCUACUCCCUGACCAAGGGGUUGGAGAGCUGCUGGAGUACACUCUACAUAUCAUGUAAAGUGGAGUAAUCCUGCAGUGGACUUAGUAGAAGACACAUUGAUAGCUUGUUUCUUUUUUGGUCUGGGGAAACAUUUCCAUAAAUGAUCAUUAUCGCUGUCAAUGAAAUGAUCCAUUCAGAAAUGAGAUUACCACACUAUGCUGUUUCUAAAACCCCCUCUUCAGCCAUCCUUAAGUCUUAAUGGAACACAAAAGGUUCAUUUAAAAUGAAAAGUGGUUUCCCCUUUUCCAAGAUUUGAGAAUCUCUCAUUUCCUUUCCAGAAGUCUAGUUUUCCUGUGAAUGGUUAUAAAGCAUUAUUUGAAGGGACUGCAGAACAUAGUCAUUUUUUCUUUGCUAUUUUAUUUUCCAUAAUUUUGAACUUGAAUAAAUAGCAUACCACUUAAAUACCAUGAUGAGAUUUUAUACACUAAGUAGUAAUAUCAUAGAAGAAUUUAUAUUGUUUAAUUUAACCACAAUAUAAAUACUCUAACUUAUUAUUACUUUGUUUUACUUCAGGAAAACUUAUAUGAGAUUAACAGUUUUAAAUAUAUGCCGUCUAAGAUUAGCAAUGUUAAUAAAAUUUAAUGUCCUUGUCCUUAAUGUAAAUUAUAGCAUUUUAAUUUUCUUGUGUCUUUAAAGAAAUGUAUAAAUUUUAUGGAGCAUAUUAAUUCCUAUUAGUAGAUUUUUAUUUAGCAAUCUUAGUGAAAACAAAAGUUUCAUACUAAUGUUCUCUAUAAAGAAUGAAGGACAUUGCUCAGGGAGAGAGAGUUAAAAUAUAUGCAAACAUGAAGACUUACCAAAGUGCAGAUUUCUCAACUUCAUGUGCACAUUUUGUAGGUGUGUUGGCUCAGAAGGUAGACUGUAUCCUCAGAACAAGCUGGAUGCAAGAGUAGCCAUAUUAAUGAGCUCUGCAUUUGAUUGUGACUGCUGCUGUAGUGAAGCAGGUGGAGGAGCCAUGCAGAAUGAUCUGAACUUCAGCCUAGGACAACCAUGUGUACUGACAUGUGCGCAGCCAUCACAUGCAAGGCAGGAAAAUAAUCAACAAACAUCACAAUGGGGAGAGUGAAAACAUUUAUACUUUUAAAAAUCCAAUCUAAUUCAAUCAAUUAUGAGUCAUUGUUGAGAUCUUUUAACUCAUGGCUGUUGGCUAGACAUUGGCUAUGGAAUGUAAUCACACUCUUAUCAGCUCUGUGCAUUUCUGUUAGCUUUGGAAAAAUCAAAAGGGUCAAGAGAGAAAGUAAACCAUUUGGACCAGGGAAAUUUUAUUGUUUAGAAAUAGUUAUUCACUAUAACUUAGGAGAUGGCUCAGAGAGUAAGACGACUCUCUGUACAACCAUAAGAACCGGAGUUCAGCCUCCCAGCAUAAAAAUCUGGGUGUAGUUGUAACCAGUUAUCCCAGAAUUGUGGGAGGGGCUGAAUUAAAAGGCUUGCUGGCUCCCAGUAAAUAGUGCUCCAAUAGUAGAUUCAAUGUACUACUGUGGUCUGCAGGAGUGCUAAGAUGUGUACCUACACACACAUUUGAGUUUUCACCACCAAUAUAUACCACAAAUCAACACAUAUCAUAAUGGGGAAAAGAAAAAAUAUACUGUAAAAAAUCCAAUCUAACUCAAUCAAUUAUCAGAGUAUCAGAGUCAUUGUUGAGAAUUAAGAAACCUAAGGCUAAGGACAUGGCUUGGGAAGAGAACAUUAAAAUGUAUGCAAACAUGAAGACUUGACAGGGUGCAGAUCCCUAGACUUCAUGUGAACAUUUUGUAGGUGUGUUGGCUCAGAAGGUGGAGACCAGUAUCCUCAGGAUGAGAAGUUUUAUUAGAAUUAAAGAUUUC